rnacentral:rRNA from 1 species
GAUGAACGCUGGCGGCGUGCCUAAUACAUGCAAGUCGAGCGAACGGACGAGAAGCUUGCUUCUCUGAUGUUAGCGGCGGACGGGUGAGUAACACGUGGAUAACCUACCUAUAAGACUGGGAUAACUUCGGGAAACCGGAUCUAAUACCGGAUAAUAUUUUGAACCGCAUGGUUCAAAAGUGAAAGACGGUCUUGCUGUCACUUAUAGAUGGAUCCGCGCUGCAUUAGCUAGUUGGUAAGGUAACGGCUUACCAAGGCAACGAUGCAUAGCCGACCUGAGAGGGUGAUCGGCCACACUGGAACUGAGACACGGUCCAGACUCCUACGGGAGGCAGCAGUAGGGAAUCUUCCGCAAUGGGCGAAAGCCUGACGGAGCAACGCCGCGUGAGUGAUGAAGGGCUUCGGAUCGUAAAACUCUGUUAUUAGGGAAGAACAUAUGUGUAAGUAACUGUGCACAUCUUGACGGUACCUAAUCAGAAAGCCACGGCUAACUACGUG